GAUUUCCUGGGGUGUUCGUGGAUGGGUUAUGUCCCUGAGCCGAUACUUAGAACUUUAUAAAUCGGUUUCCCGCCAUUGGUGUGUAGGCUUGACCUUUGACUUUGUCAUUGGACUAAAGAAACCUAAAAAUGGCCUUACCGGUUUCCUUGGACCGUCGGGUUCAAGGACUACUACUCGUAGCGGCACUCUGGGACCUUU
rnacentral:other from 5 species